rnacentral:rRNA from 1 species
AGCGAACGCUGGCGGCAGGCCUAACACAUGCAAGUCGAAUGGAUCCUUCGGGAUUAGUGGCGGACGGGUGAGUAACACGUGGGAACGUGCCCUUUGGUUCGGAACAACUCAGGGAAACUUGAGCUAAUACCGGAUGUGCCCUUCGGGGGAAAGAUUUAUCGCCAUUGGAGCGGCCCGCGUCUGAUUAGCUAGUUGGUGAGGUAACGGCCCACCAAGGCGACGAUCAGUAGCUGGUCUGAGAGGAUGAUCAGCCACACUGGGACUGAGACACGGCCCAGACUCCUACGGGAGGCAGCAGUGGGGAAUCUUGCGCAAUGGGCGAAAGCCUGACGCAGCCAUGCCGCGUGAAUGAUGAAGGUCUUAGGAUUGUAAAAUUCUUUCAGCGGGGACGAUAAUGACGGUACCCGCAGAAGAAGCUCCGGCUAACUUCAUG